GUCUGUAGACUGUCAGUAUGUCCAUGAGGUGAUUUCCUGGUUUGGAAGUUUACUUUGCAGUUUUGUGGGAGAAUAUCCUUAUAAGGGGUCUGUGUAUGUCUGACGUAUUUAGUAGUGAAGAGACAGUCCUUCUGCAACUUGCUAUUAUUUAGCUCUGAGAAAACAAUUAACUAGAAAAUCCUGGUAUCCCUUGAGUAGGCAUGCAGGGUACCUAGGAUUCAGUUCGUGAUAUUGAUGUGCACUAAGAACCUUCCAGCCUUGCGUUAGCCAUGGGUUUCUCUCAACUUGACUCCUCACUUUUCCCGUGGGAUGACUUGGCCUGUUGAACCAGUGGCUCGUUGAAGGAGGAAAGACGACUUUGCCGCAUCCCUCUCCCAGUGCACAGUAUCUUGAAUCUGUUCCUCUGUUAUCACACAGUUCUCCAGACUUGGAGUAGACAGCUGGGAGCAAAGCAAGAUUCUUGCAUGCCUAGGAGAAUGGGAGAAAAGAGAAUUUGAAAGUUUCAGAUCGUGUCCAGUUAACCACCCAUGUUCCAAAGAGAGAAGCAGCAGUAGAUUAGGAGAGGAUGAUUUACUUCACACGAGGUGCCGGUCUAUGCCAGAGUCAACUGCUACAAAACUCCAAAGGGCGAAGGAUUUGAAUGAUACUUGGGGAUCAGUUGUUGGUAGCAGGAAGAAGGGGGUGUAGGUACAAUAGCUCAGACAGGAUGGUGUUUGAUGUGCUCAGGAGCCAUAGUGAGCUCCUCGAAGGUGGAGAGGGAUGAGCGGUGAAGACAGUGAAAGAAUGGAUUCCAAGCAAUGGUGGGAAGAUCCUACGUGGCCUUGCAAGUUUAAUCUGGGUGAGAGGAAGAUUCCUGAAAGAUCUCUGAACAGAAAAGUAUGUUAUUAUAUGAGAACACCAAAGCUUUAUUCUAACAAUACUGGAGGAAUUGUAGAAGCAAGGAGAGCACUUAGGGAGCUACAAAAAUAAUCUGGGGGAGUUGCCAAGAGAGACUCAUGCUGGGAGAGUGGCAGAACAUGCUCAGGAGUGAUUGGCUCCGUGGAGAGCUCCGAGGAUCAGGCACUGUUCUCUGAUGCAUUUGAUGAGGGUGGGAAGGAAAACACAGAAGUCAGGAAGCAGCUGGUAUAGAGAGACUCUCUUAGAAGCAUCACCUGUCAAUAAAAAGUCUUUGGCCAAUGAGCUGAGGCAAGAAAUAGGAAGUUGGACACUGGCAGGGAGACAGAGGAUUCUGGGAAACAGGGAGAGAAUAAAAAGAGAUGUGAGGGGGAUGCUCAGAAAGAAGCUGAGGAUGAAGCAGCCUGGGACUGAAGAAGAGGUAGGACACAGAAUAGUGUGAGUGGGUUAAAUAUGUUAUGAGCUAGUUGGUGAAUGAGCCAGUUUAUGGCCUCUAUCCAGAGGCCAUUAUUAGUAAAUAAUUAGACCCAGAAUCAUCAUUCAAGUAGCAGGGACCAGGGAAGGGGAAAAAUUGAUUGAUUGAUUGAUUGAUUGAUUGAUUGAUUGAUUGAUUUUUUACAAGCGGGAGUUAUCAUUUUGUAAGAUGAGUGAUAUCAAGAGGAGCUUUGGGGUGAAGAAUGAACAGAAUUAGAUAUAUUCGGUUUUAGGUGCCUGCGGUUACCAAGAUGGCAAUCUGAUACAAUUUGCCGCAGUAUUAGGUUACAGAAGAGAGAAUGUUCGGUCAGAGUCUGUGAAGAACUUUUGUCAUUGUCACACUAAUAAGAUUGCCAAAUUGCGUUUUUCAGGUUGGCUUCAUGAAGCACUAAAGAGGGCUCUUAAAGAAAUUCUUAAAAUAACAAUGACAAGUCCCCUCCAGUCGGGAGGAUUCUCUAGCAGUACGAGUUUCUGUGGGACUCCUUGGUGGAAGGAACAGGUUUGCAGGAUGUUUGGGUCUGAGUCAGAAACAAAGAGCAGCCAUGACGAGGAAUGGCAGAGCCUCGGUUCUCUGAGUACCAGCCAAAUGGACUUUCUGUAGAUACUUUCCACCUUAACAUCCAUACUGGGUCUCACCACCACUGUAUCCAACAUGCUCAAAGAGACUCUGACCUUAGACAUUUUACAAAGUGAGUUGUGUCACUUAGAAAUACAAUUUAUUAUGGCUUGACGUACAUCCUUAAUAGUUUAAUAGGAGUCUUAUGGAUAGAAGUUUCAAUGUCUGGGUUUCUUUUGCCUUACAUUUUUUUAAAGUUUAUGUUGAUUGGUCAGUCCCACUUAACAAAAUGGAAGAUCACUCAUUAGCAUGUACCUUUUUACUAUAAUAAACUCUCAGGUAACUUGAUCUGCCUGAAAACAAAAGAAAUCUUUCAAAACAUAUUCUAUGAGACUGGGAAAGGGGAAAAUCGAUCAAGUACUACAGAGCACUGUUGGGAAACCUAAAGCAUUAAGGCUGCCCUGACUAGUUUUAAAGUUGGCUUCCUAUGAAUGGCUACACUAUGUCAUUGUGAUUUGUUGUGUCCUGAGCUAGAGAUCGUCCCCUUUGUUCUGGCAUCCAUAUUUACUCAAAGGGGAAAUUCAGUGAUGCAGGGGGAAAGACCAAAUUCUAGCAUCAGAUAAAUCACAAUUAGAAUCCCAGGCACCCUACAGCCAAUUUUGCUUGUGCUGAACCACAAAUGUCCUAUUAAAACUGAAGGGAUUAACACUUUCUACGAAGACCUGAAAACUUCUAAAAGACAGUGUAUGUUAGACCCAUGGAAGUGUAAGGGAGAUAUUAAGAAGAGGUCAGAGUGGGGAUCGGGGAGAUCUAAAAAAAUCAACACCCCAAACUAAAGAAUGCCAAUUUACUCAUGUAUGUGUACACAUGACCUACUUAUAAUGAGGUUGUUAUCCUCUAAGUUUACUUUAAAACAAAAACACUGUUAAAACAAAAAGCCAUUUGAUAUAUCUAGCCUAACUGACUAGUUUAAUGACAUAGUGCAGUACAAAAUAUGGGUGCUUCAACCUGGUGACAUCAUGGCUGACCCUAACCUGGAGCUUGCUGUGAUCUCUCUUCAGGAGCACACACUACACGCUCCUUGCCUAUGAAAGACCAGAAUUCAAAAUAUCAUACACAAUAACACACAAUACUGGUAGUUCACAACCAUAAAGCAAAGCCUUUGAAAAUUGGGCCAUCCUAAGUUGGCCUCUCAGGGGACAGUCACCUCUCUUUUUUUUAGGCAGCCUGCUCUUAUGGGCUUCUAGAUGAUUUUGAGAUGAUCCUGUCUAUCAAGGACUUACCAGCAGAUAGAAUAAUCCAAAUUAAUGUUGAAUGUCAGUUUUUCAGAUCUAAAACCAUACUUACCAGAUUAGUACAGUAAGAGUAAUAAUUCUGUGUGUAAAUAGAAAAAUAAGCAGGAGUGUUCAAAUUAGAUUGAUUCCAUUUCACACCUUUAGUGAUGAUAAUUUCAGAGGAACUUGUUCAUAGAACUCAGCAAGGCUGGGUUUCCUAGUAGUGCUUAGGGGCCAAGCAUCUGCUAUGGUGCCUGGCUUAUAGUAGGCUUUGGUAAGUGUUGAAUGUUACAUAUUUACAAGGAACUGAGAUUUCUGAGGACUGGACAGUAGACAGGCGCUGUUGUUCUAAGCACCUAUAUAGGCUGUCUUGCUUAAUGCUAAGAAAGCGUUUGUCCGGCUGGAGAGAUGGCUCAGCCGUUAAAGGCUAGGCUCACAACCAAAAAUAAAAGAAAGCAUUUGUUACUCCCGUUACACACAAGAUAAGGUAACAUGAACUAAAAGAAGUAGAGUGGUUUCCCUGAGGUCAUACAACUGGUAUAUUUGGGAGUGGGACUUUCUUUCCAGAAACCUAGCUUGGGGCUAUGGUUUUAAGGACCAUUCCAUUGCUCCACAGGCACGUGUCUCUGGUGUUUCCCAGUUUCUUAAUUUUGCUGUGAUUUAUAACUUCACUUCCUUUGCCACUGGCUAAUUGUCUUUUCCUAUUUUUAGGCUGAGACGCUUACCUCAUUUUCUCUUUAAGGGAAAUUGAUGGUUUUCAUAGGUGGUUUCUUACCACCUAGCAACUUCUUUGACUCCUGAGACAAGCACACUGGAUACAAAAGGAAGGCCCCAGAAGAGUUCUUUUGGAGCAGAACAUGAUGCCAAUACUAUGCUUGUUUUCCCCCUUCGUUCUUUUAUUAACUUCUCAAAUUACGGAACAGUAGACCUGCUAAAAUUGCUACUUUUAUGUUUUGUAGCUUUGGCUUAUCAAAUGCUUCUUUCUGUUACAGUCCUUGAUACAUUGUUGAGGUUUCAUUUGGGCUUCUUUGCUCCUACCAGAAACCUUCCAAACAACUUCGCAUCACAGAUAUGUUUCAAGAGACUAGAUACAGAAAGUAAACUUAGGAUAAUUCUUUUUGGGACUUGAGCCAAAACCAAAGGAAAGGCCUUGACCGCAAUACAUCCUUUUCCUUUAAAUUUUUUCACAUGGAUGUGUCUUAUUUUUGUAAGUCUAAGUCACUGCUUUUCCUUGGAUAUAUUUAAAAACUGGCUGAUUCUCCCAUAUUCUUUGUAGGACCAGCUCGUCCUUCCUCACCAGAAGGUUGGAAUGGGGGAGGGCAUAUCUGUAAGUCAAGACACAGCAUUUCACACACUGGCUCAGCAUGGCAGCUGUUGGGGGUAGCUAUUGAAGUAUCUUCAAACUUUGUCAGAAUUGCCAGAGGGGAAAGACUCCCGGCCCUCUCCCUGCCCUUUCUAGUUGGCUGCUUAGAAAGAUGUUACUUAGAACUAAUUUUCAUUUUACAGAGAAUUCGCAUCCCACAAGGCUGAUAAAGAGGCAUGGAACACAGUCAAGGGAGAGAUAGCCUUCCACUGAAAACCAGCUGUAUUGGUGCUCUGUUCCUGUUGCCGGUGUUUGGAUGACAGAUGUUAACGACAAUUUCCUUCCUCCAUCAUCAUCAUCAUCAUCAUCAUCAUCAUCAUCAUCAUCAUCAUCAUCAUCAUCAUCCAGGAUGACUCCCUAUGAAAUCAAAAUGGAUCCGCAGAGGGUACUUGGAAUUUGUGGUGGAGGAAACUGUCCACUCAGCCCAUUGAUAUGAGAAGAAAUCUUUCCUUGUUGGCAAGGUGUGCAAGAACGGAAAGUGUGAGAAAGAAAGCCCCAGUGUAGUGGUUUGAAUGUAAUUGGCUGCCCUGGGCCCAUGAGGAGAGGCACCAUUAGGAGGUAUGGCCUUGUUGGAGUGGGUGUGGCCUUAUUGGUGUGGGUGUGGCCUUGAAGUGGGUGUGGCCUUGUUGGAAUAGGUGUGGCUUUGGAGGAAGAGUGUCAUGGUGGAGGCAGGCCUUGAGUUCUUAUAUAUGCUUAUGCCACACCCAGUGGGACAGUCUCCUGCUGCUGCCUGUGGAUCAAGACGUAGAACUCUCUCAGAUCUUCUAGCACCAUGUCUGCCUGCACUGCCAUGCUUGAUAAUGGACUAAACCUCUGAACUAUAAGCCAGAGCCAAUUAAAUGUCUUCAUUAUAAGAGUUGCUUUGGUCAUGGUGUCUCUUCACAGCAAUGGGGACCCCAACUAAGACACCCAACAAGGAUGGAAAGUCAUCGGCACCCCUCGGGUCACUGGGGGGGUAAAAGAGAUGGCAGCUUCCUCUUAUCUAAUAGUAGCUGUAGCAGUGUCAAAGAUGGCAGGACUGAGCUCAUCAGUUUUACUUCAGAUGUGAGGGGGUAGGCUUCAUAUUGGCGCCCUCAGGCGUUAUUCUAGUUGAUUCAACUUCCCACAUGUUUUUGCCGAUUUCAUAUCUCUUGUCUUUCUUCCCUAAAAGGAAGACGUAAAUUGUCCUCAUACCGGUCUCCAUCGUGUAGUAAAUGACAUUGUUGCCAUUCAUGUUCUCAAGCUUGGGGGUCCUUUCAUUUUCUUCAUAUACACUCCUGGGCCCUACCCCACCUGCAAACAGCUAAUUGAGCCAUUGGUUAUUCGACCUCCAUAAUAAAUUCCAUAUGUGUCCUUGGGAGUUUCUCUGACUGGACCUUGGGCUUUUUCUUUCACAAGUAUUCACCCAGCAGUUAAAACAAAAUUCUCAAAAUUUAAGUCCCUAGUCACACUUAACGAGUCCAUAUGUGGCUUAAGUUUUCUGCCUGCUGAGAGCUUGUGUCCCCUCAGGGUAUUAAUAUAUAUCACUAACAAACCAAGUCUGGGUUCCAAUCUAGAUUGAAAUGCAGCUUUGGUCAUUUAAGAGAGUGCCUUCUAUUGUGUGUGACCUAUGCCUGAAACAAUUAGUAUGGGUGUCCAAAGGGAACAUAAUACUGUUGUGGGGUACCAACAAGAGACGACAUCCUGAAUGAUACUUUCAUCAUGAAGUGAGUUGUGCUAAGGUCUUGGGCCUACCAAGGUCUGGGGCCCUGUUAUAAUAGAAAGUAGGCCAAUAGAAAAAUAAAAAAAAUGAAAUUAGUUUACAAUAGUAGAAAGAAAAUGUGGUCAUCACAUUUAUUUAUUUACCAUUUAUUCUUCUUGAGAGCUGAAUUUGUUUGGAAUUUCCUAAUUAGACUUAAAGUGACAUAUAUUGGAUUAAACAGCUUUUUCCUUUGUUUCAUGACAGAAAUGGAGGUGUUUUGCAUUAUUGCUAUAUAUCUGGGGGAUUGAAAUAUAAUGAAGUAGAAAUAUUUCUGAUAACAAAUUAAAGAUCCAAAGUCAUAAAAAAACCCUUUACAAUAUUCGUUGUGAUUAUUAUCUUAAAAUAACAAUCGAUUUCUCUAACUAUAUAUUUACAAAAAGCACCAUCACAUGUUCAGAAAUUCUUUGAUGUAAGCUGUGGCCCUCUGGGAACAGAGAACCUCAAUUGAGAAAAUGCCUUCGUCAGAUUAGCCUGUGGGCAAGUCCAAGUAGAAUGGUGGCCUCUGUGUAUUGAGCACGAAGUAAAGAGUAGCUGUUACUGCUACAGCUUUGUGCCAUGCCUCCUGUUAGUGUCACGUCUCCUGUUAGUGCCACGUCUACCAUUAGUGCCAUGUUACUGUUAGUGUCAUGUCUACUUCUCACCAUUAAAUGAAGACCCAAAAGGAUGAAGUGAUGUCUGAUGGGAACGGUUCAUAAGGACCCCCCCCCCCACUAUAGGGCUUCAUAACAAGGCAAUAGGAACAUGUCAUGAUGGGUAUAUGCACAUAUGUGUGAGUUUCUCUGUGUCUUUCUUCCUUCCUGAAUAUAGAAGUGAUUGUGAGACCAUUUAAAAGUAUAAAGCCAAAUACAGGCAUGUGACUGACUUAGAAUGCACAGCUGGCUAGAUUGCAGUUUUCUAGUUAGUUCUCUUUAGUAGUCAAUUCUAGUCUUCUAACCUCAGAUUUAUAGGAGUUGGAAGUUGUAAGAAGUUGAGGUUUUUCAAUCAGGUAACGAUCUUAAGGUUUAGAUUAGAGCAAACAAACAUUCCUAACCCUAGCUACUUUCUAGUUUCCUCUGGGUGGUCUUGAUUUCUUAUAUAAGACCUGCAGAGACUUGGAUUCUGCUGGACUGGGACCUGAGGUAAUGAUAACUUUUCAUGAUGUAGCCCUGGCUAACCUGGACCGGGCUGGUCUUGAUCUCACUGAGAUCUACCUGCCCCUGCUUCUCAAGUGAUGGGGUGAAAUGUAUGUGCAAAUAUGCCUCAAAGUGAUAGUUCUAAAAACAACUCAGGAUUUCUAAUAAAUGGUCAUGUGCAUGUUUUUAAGGCCGAUCACUUGGUUUUAUAUUGGAUAACCCAUCAGGGUCUCAUCCCUGUAGAAAACUGAUUCUUCCUCUCACAGCAGCCAUAGCUCUUCAUUUAGGGGCGAGGCCUCGUAAAAUUUCUCACAUAUAUGUUAGAAUAUCAACUGGUGCUGUCAUUGUAAACGUAUUGUUUAGGUGGCCAAACUUUUUGAAACUUUAUGGACACAGCAUUCCUCAUAUCAAAAAGUCAUUAUCUCACAGCAAGUGUCCUGGUCCUCUGAGCUUAGAACCACUCUAUCUCCUCUUGUGCUAUGCUCUUCGAGUCUUUGAUGUAGGAGUUGUGUUAUGGAUGUACAUUAGGGACAGGACAUCUAUUGUCCCACAUUCCCUGCAUUUUGAUUAGUUGUAUGUCUCUGUAAUACCCUAUCUACUGCAAUAAAAGGAGCUUCAUUGGUUAGGAGUGAGAACCAUAUUUACCUAUGGGUAUAAGGAUAAGUAUUUAGAUAUAAUUAAAAACUAUAUAAGAAAAAUGACAUCAGUAGGUUUCCUCUGGGCUCUGUGACCUCUUCACACAUAGGUAAUUGGCUAGGUUUGUAGCUCCAUGCAUGAAUUCCUUCCUAUUGCGUGGGCCUUAAGUCUAAUUAGACAGCUGUUGGUCAUUCCAAGAUAUAAAUGCUACUACUGUGCUACUGGGACAUCUUCCCAGGCUGGCCAUUGUGUUUCAUUGGCUUUACAGCUGUGCUGGGCUCCUGAUUGUUUUUCUCCUUUGGCAUCUUCCGCAAAACCUUCAGAUGGUCACAUCUCAGGGAGGAGGCUUCCAGGUCACUUCCAGAUUGAUUCCUUCAACCACUGUGUCUGAAGCGAGUAGUGUCUUGAGCACUAAGAUCUUACCUUAACGGAGGGAUCUUGGGAGAUGGUAAAUCGUGUGCCCUGUGAGUUUAUAUGACCAAAACACAUGUAAGAUGUUUAGUGGAUGUGGUAGGCCACCUUUGAUCAAGCCUCAGAAGGUUGACACAACUUUCCCGUAUUAGGAUGACUAACGAGACUCUCCAUAGCUGUGGGCUGAGCUUAAUUAAAAGACCCUGCUCUGGUAAAUAAGGUGGAGGAGGGACCAACACCAACUUUGGGCAUCCAUAGUGUGUGUACACACCUCCCCCACACCCACACACAUGUAAAGUUACGCACAUAUACAUGCACAUGAAAAUAGAAAGAAAAACAGUGAUUGCAAUGCCUGAACUAAGCUAAGUAAGUAACUUCCUAACUUUACCCAAAUCAGAUGUUGCAUAAAUUUUACGGCAAAGUGAAAGUGUAGACAUUAUUUACUUCAGAUUAUCAUUUAGAUGAGAAAGCACCCACUGGUCUAUGACAAAUAAAUGAAAAUGACUUAGAAAUAGUUGCAAUUAACUUUAAUAUGAUUAAAACUGAAAACAGACAACUUGCAAAAUUUGACUAGAUAUGAAGCGAAGAAUAGAAAAAUAUAAGGCAUUUGAAAAAUGAGAAACUCAGCAAGCUUUGUGACUCAAUUAAAUCAGACCCUGAGGAAGGGAGGGAGAGAAAGAACUCACAUGAAUAGUAUACUUGACCAUUUACAGAGAACAAUUUUGUUGUGUAGACAGUGGCUUAACCUAUGCUAAAUCUUGUUUUAGCUGGAAUAAUUAUGCUGGAGUGAGUAACCCUAAGGUUCAAGUAUUACGUAUGUUUUUUAUUUUCCUCUGAACUUCAGUUUGGGGUGUGUAGACAAGAGUGGCAAGGCAGCAAUGGUAUCAGUUGCAUGGCUCGUGUGUUCACCUAGAAGGCUAGAAGUCUCUUGUAAGUCAGGCCGGCUGGGAUAAGCUAUCUCAUGGAACAUCCAGUGCUCACAUUCUGUUGGGGUUCAGGUUCCCAAGUUUUAUAUCUUGGGGGAGAUUUCCAGGAGUCAAAUUUUGUCUCAGAGUAUCCUUAUGUCAGGGGUAUAUAGUUGCAAAGACAAUUGCCUCCAUUUGUACCUGGCCUUCUCACACAGUCAGUGACCAUCUGCUUCUUUCUGCUGUUCUCCUCUCCAGGACAUGGCCACAUUUCCUUUGGCCACUUUUACCAUCUCGGCACAAGAGACUUGUGGGAAUUUGAAUGGCAAUGGCUCCUAUACACAUAGGAAAUGGUGCUAUUUGAAAAGAAUAGGAGGUGGCCCUGUUGGUGUAGGUAUGGCCUUGUUGGGGGAAGUGUGCCACUGGGGAAUGGGCUUUUAAUUUUCAAAGACCAAACCAGGCCCAGUGGUUCUCUCUGUCUUUCUGCUGCCUGUGGAUAUGAAUGUUGAACUCCCAGCUACCAUGCCUACCUGUGUGCUGCCAUGCACCCUUCCCCACCAUGAAGAUGAUAGAUGAAAGCAUUAAACCUGUAAGUAAGUGUCAGUUAAAUUAUUUAAUGUGCAAGAGUUGCCAUGGUCAUGGUGUCUCUUCACAGCAACAGAACACUACUUCAGAGAACUGAUUGCACUAGUGAAAUCUUUAUAGGACUCAUGAAGAAGAUGGAUCUACUACUUUGUGUGAAUGAAUGAUGUGCACAUAUUCGAGGAGUCACUGAACUAUUCUCAAAGCUCAGUCCUAGCAGUCAGGUAUUGAGGUGGGACACAGUGUUGAAUCAAAGCCAAAGGAUGAUGACCGUGUAACUCUCUCUCACUGUUCUGGGGGCCAGAAGCUUGGCAAUUUCAGAGAGAAAGAAAAAGAAGAAAAUCAAUCAAUCACACACACACACACACACACACACACACACACACACACACACACAUAUAUAUUCUGGCCAGGUCCAACCACCUGU